rnacentral:rRNA from 1 species
UUUUAACGGCUGCGGUAUUUUGACCGUGCUAAGGUAGCAUAAUCAAUUGUUUUUUAAUUGAAAACUAGUAUGAACGGUUUAAUUUACUUAAUUAGUUUGUAAUUUUUAAUAGUAAGUUAAAUAUAAAGUAAGAAUUCUUUAAUAAAUUAGGGGACGAUAAGACCCUAAAAGCUUUAUGAUUGGCAUUUAAUUGGUGAUAGCGGUGUUAUUAAUUCACUGGGGCAGUGAGUUUAGGUAUAUUUAAGUAUAAUUAAAAGCUCCUUUAAAUAAAGAUUUCAUGUAUAAGUUACUUUAGGGAUAACAGUGCAAUAUAUU